UGCCUACAGAAGACAGUCGUCUCCAAAGCUGACAUGGCAGGAUUUUGUAAUUACCUCUUUUUUAGUUUGCUUAUACAAAUCUGUAAUGACAUGUUUGAUGUACGUGAAGAAAUAUACAGUUUCUUCUGCUCUUGUCAGGAGGAGUUGUGACUGUGAUCUUCACACCUGCUUUGCUGGCCAUCCUUGGUUGGACCCAAGCUGGAGUAGUAGCAGGCUCCAUUGCUGCCGCAAUAAUGUCAUGGUUUGGAAUCGUGUCAUCAGGAAGUCUGGUUGCAUUUUUGCAAUCAAUAGGUGUAACUGGUCUGACAACGACUCCAGAUGGACCUGUAGGCAGCGUUGGAGGAGCAAUGGGAUGGAUGCUAUCAGCCAUUUGUAACCAAACCCAAAAUGAUACCACUUCAACCUAAAGAUAAACAGCAUGGACACAGGCUGUGUGUACUCUUAAAUAACACAAUUAUUCAUGUAGGUGACUGUUUCUGUUUCUGUGAUCAAUCUAAUCAUCUUAUUUAAAUUAACGUUUCAUGCAUCUGCCAUACACACUCUGCAUAAAGCAUCUUUCAGGUAAACAUAAGAGGUUGCUGAACACAAUGAGCUAAACAUUGUAUAAGAAAUGCAGAAGAUGCUGCCUGGUGUUGACUCAGGAA